UCGGAGUAUAAAAAGGUAGACUAGUUCGCUUGAAUUCAUCACAAGUUCUUCAAAUAUUUAAAAAAUCACUUUAGGCUUAGCGUCCAAGGCAGUAGCAGCCAAUCCACUAGCAGCAAUGGUUCCCCAAAAAAUGUCUUCCGUUUCCCUUUUCCUGGUGGUCGUUUCGCUCUUCGUUCUUAUUAACUUCACUGAUUUCGCUUACUGCGACUCGCUUAAAGACUGCAAACAUGGAUUUCGAUUGAAUAUAGAUGAUACCUGUUCGAGUCUUGCCC